rnacentral:tRNA from 1 species
UUAUUUAUAGUAUAAAGAAUACACUAGUUUUUCGUGCUAGGAAUGCAAAUUUUGUUAAAUAAU